GCAGACCUCUCUCCCUAGAGGGGAAUAAUCCCUCCGGGCCGGUUCCACCAUGGAGCCAAGAGCAGGUCACCGCGCCAGCAGCCCAAGCCUUCGCCGGGCUCUGUGCGGCGGAAGCGCAGCGAUGAUUUCCAGUAAAGAACGCGGACGUUGCACCGUGAUCAAUUUUGUCCCUUUGGAGGCGCCGUUAGGGUCCACGCCCCGCUCGCGUCAAGUGACUGAGGACUGUGCUGGAGAAGGACGUGCCGUGCCGCUGGGUUCUGGGUCAGGGCGGUCGGUGGAUGGGAUGGAGGCGACCUUGGAGCAGCACUUGGAAGACACAAUGAAGAAUCCCUCCAUUGUUGGAGUCCUGUGCACAGAUUCACAAGGACUUAAUCUGGGUUGCCGUGGGACCCUGUCAGAUGAGCAUGCUGGAGUGAUAUCUGUUCUAGCCCAGCAAGCAGCUAAGCUAACCUCUGACCCCACUGAUAUUCCUGUGGUGUGUCUAGAAUCAGAUAAUGGACUUUUGUUAAAAACAAAGAAGAAACACACAUUAGCCUAGACCUGCACAGGGUCAGGAUCAUCAAUAUCACUAUCUUCUACCUUCACAUCUUCUCCCACUGGAAGGUCAUCCAGGGCAGUAACAUGCAUGGAGUUGUCAUCUCCUGUCUCCUGAACAUUAUGAUCCAGAAACAUGAUGGCAUCACAGUGGCAGUGCACAAAAUGGCCUCUUGACACCUCAUAUCUGUUCUUCAGCAGCCUGUCACAGGAACUCAGUCCUACCUAUGUUAAUUACCUUAUAGAACUACUAAAGUUCCAGUAGUUAGGCCAUUCAUUUAAUGUGCAUUGGGCACUUUUCUAUUUAUUUAAGAGUCAAUUGCUUUCUAAUGCUCUAUGGACCGACUAUCAAGAUAUUAGUAAGAAAGGAUCAUGUUUUGAAGCAGCAGCUCCAGGUCACUUUGUAUAUAGAAUUUUGCUAUAUUCAAUAAAUCUGUUUGGAGGAAAAUG